ensembl:misc_RNA Metazoa_SRP Metazoan signal recognition particle RNA
GCCGGGCAUGGUGGCAUGCCUGUAAUCCCAGCUACUCAGGAGGCUGAGGUAGGAGGAUCCCUUGAGUCCAGGAGGUUGAGGCUGCAGUGAGCUAUGAUCACAACACUGCACUCCAGCCUGGGCAACAGAGAGAGAUCCUGCCUCAA